AGAUUGUGUUUUUCCUCCUUGCAUUCAGAAAGACAGAUGCUUCCAAAGUGGGAUUUUCUGCCACAAGGGUUAUACUCUGUCAAACAUAAUUUUCUGUCUUCCCCUUCCUCUUCUCUCCCAACCAGAUACCUUCCAGGUGGCCACAUACCAUGGUUGUAAAUGUCCAACAUCUUUUGUUUGAUUGAUCCAUUCCAAAUACCUGAGAGACCCAGGGUGGUUUCAGAGGGAGCUUGGAGUUUUCCCCAAAACUCUUGUUACAUGGUCCGGCUGAGGUUCUUGAUACAACUUAGAAUGAGCAGGUGGCGGGGGCCAUGGACCAAACUGCAUCUGCGAGAACUUCUCUCUGUGUGGAUCUCAUAGAGCCCCAUGGUUUACUGAAUGAUUCAGAGAGAUGAAGCAAUGUAAGAGAUGCCCACAGUGCUACUGGAGGAAGACAAGGAAUGAGGCUGAUCAAGAAGAGGGAAAGUUGAAGAGAAAGUGGUUGACACACCGCUACAGCCCUGAAUUAAGUGGACUAUCUGGACCCUCUUCAAUCUGGGUUCACGCCUGGGCACAACACUGAAACGGCAUUGGUUGCAUUUGUCGAUGACCUUUGGAGAGCUUGAUAUGGAGAUUCAUCUGAAAGAAUGACAAUGAUAUUGGAGGCCUCAUACAAAAUUUGGUGCCACAUUAUAGAAAACCCUAUUCUGGCUGUGUGCUGAAUGAACUUCAGUAGAUUUAAGAUACAGAGCUUUACCUCACAAAGACCUGAGGAGGUGAACACAGUCACAUGUUGCUUGAUCUUCUCAAAACAUCAGUCUCCGAAUCUAA